rnacentral:rRNA from 1 species
CAGCAGCCGCGGUAAGACAGAGGAUGCAAGCGUUAUCCGGAAUGAUUGGGCGUAAAGCGUCUGUAGGUGGCUUUUCAAGUCCGCCGUCAAAUCCCAGGGCUCAACCCUGGACAGGCGGUGGAAACUACCAAGCUGGAGUACGGAAGGGGCAGAGGGAAUUUCCGGUGGAGCGGUGAAAUGCGUUGAGAUCGGAAAGAACACCAUUGGCGAAAGCACUCUACUGGGCCGACACUGACAUUGAGAGACGAAAGCUAGGGGAGCAAAUGGGAUUAGAUACCCCCGUAGUCCCUGUCUCUUAUAC